GUCCUAGCCCUAAACGGUGCAUGUUUGCUGUAAGAGGAAUCGACCCCUUUGUGGCGAAGCUAACGCGUUAAACAUGCCGCCUGGGAAGUACGGCCGCAAGGUUAAAACUCAAAGAAAUUGACGGGGGCCUGCACAAGCGGUGGAGUAUGUGGCUUAAUUCGAUGCAACGCGAAGAACCUUACCUGGCCUUGACAUGCAAGUAGUAGAACCGUGAAAGCGGGACGAGGUAGCAAUACCAGCUUGCACAGGUGCUGCAUGGCUGUCGU
rnacentral:rRNA from 1 species